rnacentral:rRNA from 1 species
AGAGUUUGAUCCUGGCUCAGGAUGAACGCUAGCGGCAGGCUUAACACAUGCAAGUCGAGGGGUAACAUUGUAGCUUGCUACAGAUGACGACCGGCGAACGGGUGCGUAACGCGUAUAGAAUCUGCCUUGUACAUGAGGAUAGCCUUUAGAAAUGAAGAUUAAUACUCCAUAAUGCUAAUAUGUGGCAUCACAAAUUAGUUAAAGAUUUAUCGGUACAAGAUGACUAUGCGUCCUAUUAGCUAGAUGGUAAGGUAACGGCUUACCAUGGCAACGAUAGGUAGGGGGUCUGAGAGGAUUAUCCCCCACACUGGUACUGAGACACGGACCAGACUCCUACGGGAGGCAGCAGUGAGGAAUAUUGGUCAAUGGAGGCAACUCUGAACCAGCCAUGCCGCGUGCAGGAUGACUGCCCUAUGGGUUGUAAACUGCUUUUAUACAGGAAGAAACUUAGCUACGUGUAGUUAACUGACGGUACUGUAAGAAUAAGGACCGGCUAACUCCGUGCCAGCAGCCGCGGUAAU